rnacentral:rRNA from 1 species
AAUGAACGCUGGCGGCAUGCCUAACACAUGCAAGUCGAACGAAGGCUUCGGCCUUAGUGGCGCACGGGUGCGUAACGCGUGGGAAUCUGCCCUCAGGUUCGGAAUAACAGCGAGAAAUUGCUGCUAAUACCGGAUGAUAUCGCGAGAUCAAAGAUUUAUCGCCUGAGGAUGAGCCCGCGUAGGAUUAGCUAGUUGGUGUGGUAAAGGCGCACCAAGGCGACGAUCCUUAGCUGGUCUGAGAGGAUGAUCAGCCACACUGGGACUGAGACACGGCCCAGACUCCUACGGGAGGCAGCAGUGGGGAAUAUUGGACAAUGGGCGAAAGCCUGAUCCAGCAAUGCCGCGUGAGUGAUGAAGGCCUUAGGGUUGUAAAGCUCUUUUACCCGGGAUGAUAAUGACAGUACCGGGAGAAUAAGCUCCGGCUAACUCCGUGCCAGCCGCCGCGGUAAAAC